GAGGCGCGUUUUGCGAAUUCGACGCAGUUCGGGGUCACAUUCGUCCCUACCUCUGGUGAUGUAUAGUCUGAUAUCGGCUUUAUAAUCAGCGGGGCGCGCCAUGUUGGUCUCUCUUCUAUUAUA